rnacentral:rRNA from 1 species
UACGGGGGGGGCAAGCGUUGUUCGGAAUUACUGGGCGUAAAGGGCGCGUAGGCGGCCUGUUAAGUCAAACGUGAAAUCCCUCGGCUCAACCGGGGAACUGCGUGUGAUACUGGCGGGCUUGAAUUCGGGAGAGGGAUGUGGAAUUCCCGGUGUAGUGGUGAAAUGCGUAGAUAUCGGGAGGAACACCAGUGGCGAAGGCGACUACCUGGCCUGUUCUUGACGCUGAGGCGCGAAAGCUAGGGGAGCAAACGGG